rnacentral:rRNA from 1 species
CUUUACUGUAGCCUGGUAUUGGGUUCGGGCCUUGCAUGCGCAGGAUAGGUGGGAGACUGAGAGGCUGCUCUUGUGGGAGUAGCGGAGUCAACGGUGAGAUACCACUCUUGUGAGGCUAGAAUUCUAACCUUGAGCCAUGAACUGGCGAAGGGACAGUAUCAGGUGGGCAGUUUGACUGGGGCGGUCGCCUCCUAAAAGGUAACGGAGGCGCGCAAAGGUUCUCUCAGGCUGGUUGGAAAUCAGCCGUAGAGUGUAAAGGCAGAAGAGAGCUUGACUGCGAGACCUACAAGUCGAGCAGGGACGAAAGUCGGCCUUAGUGAUCCGACGGCACUGAGUGGAAGGGCCGUCGCUCAACGGAUAAAAGUUA